rnacentral:rRNA from 1 species
UACGGAGGGUGCAAGCGUUGUCCGGAUUUAUUGGGUUUAAAGGGUGCGUAGGCGGCCCCAUAAGUCUGCGGUGAAACCCACGGGCUCAACCCGUGGCGUGCCGACGAUACUGUGGGGCUUGGGUCGUCUCUGGGCGGGCGGAAUGGAAGGUGUAGCGGUGAAAUGCAUAGAUAUCUACCAGAACGCCGAUAGCGAAGGCAGCUCGCUGGGGACGUACCGACGCUGAGGCACG